UGAGAGUCCACAUCCCUUUCUCUUCCCACCAUAUGCCUUUGAAGUGAGCCUGCUGUUUGAUCAAUGCCUGAAAACCCCAGCCUCCUUCCUUACCUGGAGCUCUGCCCACCAUGGUUCAGUGCAGACAUUAGGGGACCGCUGAGAUGCAAAAGGGAAGAGAGGAAGGCGUGGAGGGAAGUCACAGUGCGGGAGGUCACUGUUUUAAAGAGUCUGCCACUUUACUAUGGAAUCAAAUUCCAGAGACAAGCACCAACAGGAACCCUGCUCUGGAACCAGGACCUGCACCUUCAAGAGCUCACAGGUGGCCCGGCUCCAGCACCAGACCACGGCUGGGUGACUUAUCACUGUUGCCUGUUCAACCAGGCUCUAUGCUUGCAGGCAUAGGGGAGGGGCUUGCAUAGGAGCAGAUGGGUCUGGUCACAGGAUGACAGCAUCCAUGGCAAGAGCCCACUUGGUUUUAAUGAAUGGCACCAACACUUUGGCCAUAAACUCUUCAGAUUCCUGGGUCGGCCAGUAGUUAGAUCCUGCCCAUCAA
rnacentral:lncRNA from 1 species